rnacentral:rRNA from 1 species
ACGGGUGGGUAACACGUAUGCAAUCCACCUCGUAACAGGGGGAUAACCCGGAGAAAUCCGGACUAAUACCCCAUAAUAUGGGCGCUCCGCAUGGAGAGCCCAUUAAAGAGAGCAAUUUUGGUUACAGACGAGCAUGCGCUCCAUUAGCCAGUUGGCGGGGUAACGGCCCACCAAAGCGACGAUGGAUAGGGGUUCUGAGAGGAAGGUCCCCCACAUUGGAACUGAGACACGGUCCAA